rnacentral:rRNA from 1 species
AACGCGAAGAACCUUACCUGGGUUUGACAUACACCGGAAAGCCUUAGAGAUAAGGCCCCUUUUGUCGGUGUACAGGUGGUGCAUGGCUGUCGUCAGCUCGUGUCGUGAGAUGUUGGGUUAAGUCCCGCAACGAGCGCAACCCUCGUUCUAUGUUGCCAGCACGUAAUGGUGGGGACUCAUAGGAGACUGCCGGGGUCAACUCGGAGGAAGGUGGGGAUGACGUCAAGUCAUCAUGCCCCUUAUGUCCAGGGCUUCACGCAUGCUACAAUGGCCGGUACAAAGGGCUGCGAUCCCGUAAGGGGGAGCGAAUCCCAAAAAGCCGGUCUCAGUUCGGAUUGGGGUCUGCAACUCGACCCCAUGAAGUCGGAGUCGCUAGUAAUCGCAGAUCAGCAACGCUGCGGUGAAUACGUUCCCGGGCCUUGUACACACCG